rnacentral:rRNA from 1 species
UUGCUGGGCCUGGCGCGUACUGCGGAUGCCUCGGCAAUUAGAGCCGAUGUAGCGACGGACUAAACACCGAGCGGCGCGCGCUUUGUGAGCUGUACGUAAGCUAUGAUCCAGAGAUUUCCGCUGAAUGGGGAACCCAACAUCUUUUAAUAGGGAUGUUACGAUUGUGUGAAUACAUAGCACAGCCUGAGGUGUAGACGCAGAGAACUGAAACAUCUAAGUACCUGCAGGAAGAGUAGCGAAAAUCUUUGAUUCCCCGAGUAGCGGCGAGCGAAAUGGAAAAAGCCCAAACCAGCAAGCUUGCUUGUUAAGUUGCAGGACUCCAAUAUGGUAGUGUUUUCAGAGCGUAGUCGAAUGACGGAAAAAGUCAGUCAAAGAGGGUAAAACCCCGUAGACGAAAAUGCGGAAGACACCGAGGAUCCCGAGUACGCGGCGGAACACGAGAAAUUCCGUCGGAAUCCGGGAGGACCAUCUCUGCUACAAUACUCCCCAGUGACCGAUAGGUGAACCAGUACCGAGGGAAAGGUGAAAAGCACCCCGGAAGGGGAGUGAAAUAGAACCUGAAAACCGUGUGCGUCACAACAAGUCAAAGCCCGUUAAUGGGGUGAUGGCGCGCCUUGUAGAAUGGAACCGGCGAGUUACGAUUGCAUGCGAGGUUAAGUUGAAGAGACGGAGCCGCAGCGAAAGCGAGUCUGAAUAGGGCGUUUGAGUAUGUAGUCGUAGACCUGAAACCAUGUGAUCUACCCAUGUCCAGGUUGAAGGUGCGGUAAACGCACUGGAGGACCAAACCCACGGCCGCUGAAAAGCAAGGGGAUGAGGUGGGUAGCGGAGAAAUUCCAAAACGAACUUGGAGAUAGCUGGUUCUCCCGGAAAUAGCUUCUUUAGGGCUACCUCGAAUUGAGAAUGAUGGAGGUGAGCACUGUUUGACUAGGGGCCCAUCUCGGGUUACCGAAUUCAGAUAAACUCCGAAUGCCAUUCAUUCAUAUCCGGGAGUCAGACUGUGAGUCAUAAGAUCCAUAGUCGAAAGGGAAACAGCCCAGACCACCAGCUAAGGUCCCAAAAUAUAUGUUAAGUGGAAAAGGAUGUGGGGUUGCACAGACAACUAGGAUGUUGGCUUAGAAGCAGCCACCAUUUAAAGAAAGUGCGUAAUAGCUCUCACUAGUCGAGUGACCGCGCCGAAAAAUAUACCGCCAAAACAUAUUACCGAAGCUGUGAGAGUACACCUUUAGGUGCAUUGCAGAAAGAGCGUCUCUAAGGGCGUUGAAGCGGCAGACGAGGACUGGAUGGAGCCAGGAAGGAGAAAUUUUUCGCGCGAGUAGCGAAAGACACAGUGGGUGAGUAAAUCCCUGUCCACCGUGAAUGACUAAGGUUUCCUGGGGAAGGCUCGGCCACAUCCGCCCAGGGUUAGUCGGGGACCUAAUCCGGAGUCGACAGGCGAAGGAUGACAACAGGCUUAUAUUCCUGUACCCGUUGUUUUGUUUGAGCAAUGGAGGGACGGCGGAGGGCUGGCUGGAACGCGCAGACGAUCUGAAAUGCCCGUCCAAGCAGUAAGUCUGAAGAGGAGUCAAAUGCUUCUUUUAGGAAAAUGCUGUGAUGGGGAGGGAAAAUGGCCAGUACCGAAGCGCCCCUGAUGUCACACUGCCGAGAAAAGUUUCUAGUGAGAAAAAACAGCGGCCCGUACCGCAAAACCGACACAGUAGUCGAGGAGAGAACUUUGCUGGGUGAGCGAGAGAACUCCUCGUUAAGGAACUCGGCAAAAUGACCUGCAACUCUGAGAAGGGCGCUGAUCACGCAUCAGCCGCAGUGAAUAGCCCAAGCGACGAAUAAAACACAGGUCUCGCAAAAAUCGUAAGAUGAAGUAUAGGCUGACGCCCGCCCGGUGCUGGAAGGUUAAGAGGAGUGCCAGCGCAAAGCGCGUGGGGCUGCGCACGAACCCGUGAGUUUUCCCCAGUAAACGGCGGCCGUAACUAUAAUUCGUCCUUAAGGUGGUAUGAAAUUUUGCCGUGGUAAGUUCCGACCCGCACGAAAAGCGCGUAACGAUGGCACCAAAGUCUCAACGCGAGAGUAUUCCGGUGAACGUAAGUACCUGUGAAGAUGCAGGUUACCCGCGACAGGACGGAAAGACCUACGGAGCUUUACUGUAGUUUGAUAUUGUCUGUACCGCAUGCCAGGAUAGGUAGGGAGGCCGCGGGUAAAAUCGGAACGCUAGUUUCGAUGGAGGCUGGUGAUACCACCUCGCGUUAUACACUUAACCCGGCACCCAUCAAUCGGUGGAGAUAGCGUCAGAUGGGGUGAAGUUUGACUGGGGCGUCGCCUCCCCAGUAACGAAAAGCGCCCAAAGGUUCCCCUGGUGAAUGGUUGGAAAUCGAAGAGUGUAAGCGGCAGAAGCGGCAGCUUGACUGCGAGAAGACCAACAAGUCGGCAGGACGAAAGCGGCUUAGCGAUCCGGUGGUUCCGUACGUAAAGGGCCAUCGCUCAACGACGCUACCCUGAUACCAGGCUUAUCCCCCAAGAGUCUCACAUCGACGGGAGGCUGGGCACCCUCGAUGCGCCGGCUCGUCGCACCCCGGGGCUGUAGUUCGUCCUGUAAGGGCCGGGCUGUUCGCCCAUUAAAGCGGCAGCACGCGAGCUGGGUUCAGAACGUCGUGAGACAGUUCGGUCCCUAUCCGUCGCGGGCGUUGGAAAUGAGAGGAGCUGUCCUUAGUACGAGAGGACCGGGAUGGACUUACCGCUGGUGUACCAGUUGUUCUGCCAAGGGCAUUGCUGGGUAGCUAUGUAGGGAAGGGAUAAACGCUGAAAGCAUCUAAGUGUGAAGCCCACCUCAAGAUGAGAUUUCCCAUUUCUUUAAGAAAGUAAGAUCCCUGAGAGAUGAUCAGGUAGAUAGGUCAGGAGUGGAAGUACAGUGAUGUAUGGAGCGGACUGAUACUAAUCGAUCGAGGACUUAACCAAU